rnacentral:rRNA from 1 species
AUUGAACGCUGGCGGCAGGCCUAACACAUGCAAGUCGAACGAGUGGCGGACGGGUGAGUAAUGUCUGGGAAACUGCCUGAUGGAGGGGGAUAACUACUGGAAACGGUAGCUAAUACCGCAUACCCUCAGAUGUGCCCAGAUGGGAUUAGCUUGUUGGUGGGGUAACGGCUCACCAAGUCGACGAUCCCUAGCUGGUCUGAGAGGAUGACCAGCCACUCGGGGACGGAGACACGGUCCAGUCUCCUCCGGGAGGAGGAGGUGGGAAAUAUUGCACAAUGGGCGCAAGCCUGAUGCAGCAAUGCCGCGUGUAUGAAGAGGGCCUUGGGGUUGUAAGGUACUUUCAGCGGGGAGGCGUUACCCGCAGAAGAAGCAACGGCUAACUCCGUGCCAGCAGCCGCGGUAAUAC